GGUGAACGCUGGCGGCGUGCCUAAUACAUGCAAGUCGAGCGAACAGACGAGGAGCUUGCUCCUCUGACGUUAGCGGCGGACGGGUGAGUAACACGUGGAUAACCUACCUAUAAGACUGGGAUAACUUCGGGAAACCGGAGCUAAUACCGGAUAACAUGUUGAACCGCAUGGUUCAACAGUGAAAGACGGUUUUGCUGUCACUUAUAGAUGGAUCCGCGUCGCAUUAGCUAGUUGGUAAGGUAACGGCUUACCAAGGCAACGAUGCGUAGCCGACCUGAGAGGGUGAUCGGCCACACUGGAACUGAGACACGGUCCAGACUCCUACGGGAGGCAGCAGUAGGGAAUCUUCCGCAAUGGGCGAAAGCCUGACGGAGCAACGCCGCGUGAGUGAAGAAGGUCUUCGGAUCGUAAAACUCUGUUAUUAGGGAAGAACAAAUGUGUAAGUAACUAUGCACGUCUUGACGGUACCUAAUCAGAAAGCCACGGCUAACUACGUG
rnacentral:rRNA from 1 species